rnacentral:rRNA from 1 species
UACGAAGGGGGCUAGCGUUGCUCGGAAUCACUGGGCGUAAAGCGCACGUAGGCGGUUCUUUAAGUCAGGGGUGAAAUCCUGGAGCUCAACUCCAGAACUGCCUUUGAUACUGGGGAUCUCGAGUCCGGGAGAGGUGAGUGGAACUGCGAGUGUAGAGGUGAAAUUCGUAGAUAUUCGCAAGAACACCAGUGGCGAAGGCGGCUCACUGGCCCGGUACUGACGCUGAGGUGCGAAAGCGUGGGGAGCAAACAGG